rnacentral:lncRNA from 1 species
GCACAUAUUGCCCCCUCCCCACCUCCGCUCUGGCGUGGGGACGGGAGGAGGAGGGAGGAAUGGAACCAGGGAGUCCGAAGUACAGCUUUGACAACUGUCGCGCUGGCCGGGAUCAGCAGAUCUGUUUUCACUACCUCAAGGUACAUAGCCCCAAACACUGCCCAUCCCCAGUUCCCCAUGCACAUCUUUCCUGUUGGAGAAACCAGGAGAGAGAUGAGCAUUUCUGUCCCAGUUCCAGACUCCCCAGAGAGAUUCUGAUGGGCCCAGCUUAGGUCAGGGGAUAGUCUUCACUCAAGAGUUCCUGAGAUAAGAGAGACUGGAGUAGCAGGCAUUGCAGAACUGAUUUUAUAAAGGAAGAAUGUGUACCAUAUAUAUAUUGCUAGUUAAACGCAUGUAUACUGUUGAGUUCUACCUCCUCAGAAGUCUAGAAGGUUUCCUUCCUUUGAGGGUGAAGAAGCAGUAACAGGCAUCCUCCAUCUGUGGAGGUGCCCCUCGCUGUGGGCACCUAGAACACUUACCAUUAACGUCUGCUUCAAGAGGAGGUCACUAAAAGUGCCCCACAUGACGCAGCAGACACUUUGCUGGUCCCAGUGCCCUCUCCAAGACCUUCCAGAUGGUGAAGUGUUAAGAGUCUAAAAUGGAGUAAACGAUCUGCACAAAUUCAGUGGUGUCAGAGGAGCCAGUCCAAAGUCACUCGGCUCUAAAACGCUGCGAUUCUAUUAUUUUAAUGAUGCCCAGGAACACAACGCGGCACGACGGACCCAGAGAUAUGGCACGCACACUUGGGAAACCCAGAAUAAUGGGAACUCAAAACUGUUAUUCAUUCGAGAGCUUAUCAGUCCAAGAAGAUGCCACCUUGGUCAGAUGUGGAUGAGGCAUGACUGGACCCACCCUAUGGGCUUGGCACCCACCUGUGCUAUAAACUGUUCAUGUGAAAACUGUGUGUCCCUGGGUUGUCUGACCUGCAGCUGUACUGCACUUUUAGUACAAUGCCUGCCACCCACAGGAGUGUUGUCACAAUUGAAGUGAAUGCUAUAAAGCAUUGUGAGCAACUCAGAAGAAGGAUGCUGCUUAACUACCCAAAAUUAUUAUACACCCACAGGCUGGAUGUUGCAGAAGAAACUUUUCGCUCUCUUUUCCUUUCCCCUGAGCAUUCUUCCGUAUCUCCCACCACAUGAGAGCAAACAAUUGAUUGGGAGUCCUGCUCUGUUGCUGAGGCUGGAGUGCGGUGGUGCCAUCAGGGCUCACUCCAGCCUCGACCUCCCAGGCUCAGGAGAUCCAACCCCGUCAGUCCUGCCAAGUAGCUGGGACUACAGGUACGAGCCACCACACCUGGCUUUUUUUUUCUUUUUAAUUUUAGUAGAGAUGCUAUGUUGCUCUGUUACCCAGGCCAGUCUCAAACUCCUGGGCUCAAGUGAUCCUCCUACCUCGGCCUCCCAAAGUACUGGGAUUAUAGACAUCA